GGAGUUCAACAAUUCCGGAAAUCACUCACCAUCAAUAUAAAAAAGGAAUGAACAAAUGUAUUGCCUCAACAGGUACAAAUACUCUGCUGAAGGCAAAAGCCCACAACAUGAUGACAGAUCAGAUGGAACCCAAACAGAAUAUCAAUCGCGAAUGUAUAAUGCGAGCAGUCAUGAUACCAACAUGGACCUCUGUGGAACUCCACUAGUCGCUGGCUGUAAUCCUGAAAAAGACCACUCUAUCCCCACACUCUACCUUCAGACAGUCAGCCAAUCUUCUAUCCAUGCCAGUGACUUGCUCCUAAUGGCAUAGGUGUGAGGAUCUAAAAUUUGAACUUGGGUUAUUAUUUGAAGCAACAAGUUUAUGUAGAUUUUUACUAACCACAAAAUGGUUGUUCAAUUUAAAAGAAUACAAGAAAAUGGCUGAGAGUAGUGCUUGUACCCUGUGAACUGGUACUGCUGUUUUGCAGAAUUAAGCUGAAAUUCAAAGAUAAGAGGACAAUAGAGUUUUCAUAAAAUGAAUACUAACACAUUAAUUUACCAUUUGAACUAACCUUGAACCGUUACAAUGGCAUAAUGAUUUAUGUAAAUCAUUCCCAGGAAAUAUCAUUGGAUUAACAUGUUGUAAAUCAUGCCACCUUAUUAUAUGUGAUUUUUUUUUGUAAUUAAGGCUGUACUACCUCUUUAAAAGCAUAUAAGUAAUGUGUAAUUUUUGAAUGUAAUUGUGCAACUUCAGCACGGAACACAGAAGCUUUAACCUCUGUGUUGCUGGAUAGAA